UACAAACCUACCUUCCUUGCCAUGUAAAGAUGACAUUUCCUCAAUAUAUUGUGCACAGAAGUUUACUGAAGUAAUUAAGAGGGAAACUCCUGAGCAAUCUGAGUACGAACAUCUGCCUUCCUCAUCUUGGCAAGUUUUGCUCUUGUCCCAGUGCCUGGGACAGUCAGAGGGAAGAAACAUCAAAAUUCUGUGUGUCCUCUACACCAGGAGUCCAUUGGAUGGAUAUACCAUGGCUUGUUUUAUCCGCGCCACUGUUGGAGGACAUUGGGUUGUUUCCAGCUUCUGACCACCACAAAUCAAGCUGUUCUGAACAUUUGUCUCUGGGAUUUAGUGGGAACAUAAACUUUCAUUUCUCUAGGGCAAGUGACCAGAAGUAGGAUUGCUGGGGAAUAUGUUAAGUAAAUGUAUGACUUCAUAAAAAACUGCCAUUUUCCAGAGUAUCUCCGUAGUUUUGCUCCUACCAGCAGUGUGUGUGAGUUCCAUUGGCUCCAAAUCCUCUCCAACACUUGGUACUCUAGGUUGAUGGUUUCCAUCUAAGAAUGCUAGAAUGACUUUAUUA